rnacentral:rRNA from 1 species
UCUGCCUUCGGGGCGCAGCAGUAGGGAAUCUUCCACAAUGGGCGAAAGCCUGAUGGAGCAACGCCGCGUGGGUGAGGAAGUACUUCGGUAUGUAAAGCCCUAUCAGCAGGGAAGAAAAUGACGGUACCUGACUAAGAAGCCCCGGCUAACUACGUGCCAGCAGCCGCGGUAAUACGUAGGGGGCAAGCGUUAUCCGGAUUUACUGGGUGUAAAGGGAGCGUAGACGGCGUGCCAAGUCUGAUGUGAAAGGCCGGGGCUCAACCCCGGGACUGCAUUGGAAACUGGCAUGCUGGAGUGCCGGAGGG